AAACCAGCACCUCAAGUGGUCAGGAGGAUUAUUGGGCCUAAAGCAUCCGUAGCCUGUUCUAUAAGUUUUCGGUUAAAUCCAUUAGCUCAACUAAUGGGCUGCCGAAAAUACUGUAGAACUAGGGAGUGGGAGAGGUAGACGGUAUUCGGUAGGAAGGGGUAAAAUCCUUUGAUCUAUUGAGGACCACCUGUGGCGAAGGCGGUCUACCAGAACACGUUCGACGGUGAGGGAUGAAAGCUGGGGGAGCAAACCGGAUUAGAAACCCGGAGUAGUCC
rnacentral:rRNA from 1 species